AGCCUCCUGCCUCUCUGACACCCAGUGGCGACCAAGUCCUAGCAGUACUAUCUCUAAAGGUCCUCCCUAUCUGUCGUCUGCCCUUCAUUUUCCCAGUUACUCCAGUUACUGUCCUACUCAAGGACCCCCAUCCCAUCUGUGCUACUAUAACCACAUGGUCCAUCCCUUGCUUCAAUCAUAGAAUUCUUUCUUCAGAUCAAAGUAUAUUCAGACACCCGAUACAGUAACAAAAGCAAGCUAUCCUGGAAGGAAGAAGGAAUCAGGAGGCAGAGCACAUGGUUAAAGCAUGAGAUGUGAAACCAGGAAGAACCAGGUCUGAAUCUUAGCUCCACCAGUGGUAGCUCCAAACCUUAGUCCUUUCUGAGCCUGCUUCUUCAACCCUAAGGAAUUCGGAAACGGGACCCAGAAAGUUGUUUCCUGCAAGUGGCUGGAACAACACAAGCAAUAAGUAUCCUGAAACAGGCCCUGUUCCAACAAACUGACCCAGAAAGGUCUGGUUAGGACAGGACCCUCACUAUACACUAAUACAUUUAAACUAAAAGGAUAUUAUGAAUUAUGUAGACAUAUCAAGCUGAGAGGAAAGGAAAUCCUAUCAUCUUGCAGGCUUCCUAAUGAUCUUACUUAAAACUGAGUUACUGCAAC
rnacentral:antisense_RNA from 1 species